UACAGAGGGUGCAAGCGUUGUUCGGAAUUACUGGGCGUAAAGCGCGUGUAGGUGGCGAUGUAAGUCGGGUGUGAAAUCCCUCAGCUUAACUGAGGAAGUGCACUCGAUACUGUGUCGCUUGAGUGUUGGAGGGGAUGGCGGAAUUCCCGGUGUAGAGGUGAAAUGCGUAGAUAUCGUCAGGAACGCCAAUGGUGAAGACAGGUGACUGGGCUAGAUCUGACACUGAGGCACGAAA
rnacentral:rRNA from 1 species